UAGCUUUAGGGCUAGCCUCAUGAGAGUCAUAUGGAGGUAGAGCACUGAAUACCCAAGGGGGCGUCAAAGCUUACCAAAGGUUAUCAAACUCCGAAUGCCAUGAUGAUGCUUCAUGGGAGUCAGACUGCACGAGAUAAGUUGGGCAGUCAAAAGGGAAAGAGCCC
rnacentral:ncRNA from 1 species